rnacentral:rRNA from 1 species
CCUACGGGAGGCAGCAGUGAGGAAUAUUGGUCAAUGGGCGCGAGCCUGAACCAGCCAAGUCGCGUGAAGGAUGACUGCCCUACGGGUUGUAAACUUCUUUUAUAAAGGAAUACAGUGAGGCUCGUGUGCCUUUUUGUAUGUACUUUAUGAAUAAGGAUCGGCUAACUCCGUGCCAGCAGCCGCGGUAAUACGGAGGAUCCGAGCGUUAUCCGGAUUUAUUGGGGUUAAAGGGAGCGUAGAUGGGUUGUUAAGUCAGUUGGGAAAGUUUGGGGCUCAACCGUAAAAUUGCAAUGGAUACUGGCAGUCUUGAGUGCAGUUGAGGUAGGCGGAAUUCGUGGUGUAGCGGUGAAAUGCUUAGAUAUCACGAAGAACUCCGAUGGCGAAGGCAGCUUACUAAACUGCCACUGACAUUGAGGCACGAAAGUGUGGGUAUCAAACAGGAUUAGAUACCCCAGUAGUC